AAUCCGAAUUUUGACAUCUGGACAAGCUCCAUAUAAUUCGCCCCAUGUGUUAUUAGCUGCUCGAAUUAUUCAUCCAUGUUCCAUAUCAAUUGGCCAUUUUUGCUUCUUAUAAAGAUCUUUAGACAUGAGAUUUAUUUUAGAACCAUGGUCGACUAAAGCAACUAUUGGUUCUUCUAUAUCUCCUACUUUCACCAAUACCUCAAUAGUUGCCCUUGUCCAAUGCUUUCGAGUAUAAU
rnacentral:lncRNA from 1 species